UUGUCCAGCCAAAUUUGCCUACAUGAAAGAUGGCCAGCAUAGUAAUGUGCAUGUCCAUGCGAACGAUUGUUUACCUCGCAUGCAAAUAUUUCGGCCUGCUCGUUGCUGAUUGGAUAAUAGGAUAUUAGUAGCCCCGCGUCAUGCACGACGUCACACGAUAUUAUUAAAUCAUUAGCGGACUGAUAUCCGAGUUCUUCAGAAGUGAUAAAGGGCUGUUUGUUUAUUUGAGGAAGAUGCGUUUUAAAGUGUCCAAACAUGUAAUAAAUUAUUUGAAGACGGUUUGUGUGUUUUUAUUGACAUUCGGUGCAUUUAACGCAGCAGUUUAAGUUACGUUGAUGUAAAGUAGUGCCGAGUAGAAGUUUUUGCAACGGGCCAAAUUAACUGCGCAGAAUCGCUAGAAUAAGAAACUGGAGAGUUUUCAAUCACCUCAUCAUACUCAUGACCUGGUAGUCAAAAUCAUAGUGGAAAAAAGGUACCAAGGUUUCUACAAGUUCAACUACUGCACUAACACCAAAAAAAGAUCACACACAAAAUCAGAUGCAAGGGUACCUACACCAGGAGAGAAAAAAUUCAUCACAUUCGAGCUUCAAGUACAGCAGGACCAGUAUUGCCAUGGCAUUACCUUUGAUCCCGACAUCUUCAGGACUGUUAUGUUAACACUUAUGCAGGAAAAAAAUCCAGUCAUGAUUGAAAACUACAAUUUGAUUCCAUCUCGUUUGAAUCCAGGUCAACAAGAUCUCAAACUCACAUCCAAAUCCAAAAUGACUCCAAUAUCCCACCAGCUGCAUUAUGAGCACAAACCACCCACACCGUUUACAACAGAACUUGAAAAAAUUGCCACCAUUUCACCAAAUACUAAAAUCAAUGUUCAAGUUGUCAUUCUUGGUGAAAACCCAAAAUGUGGAACUAAAACUGUCGCCUCUGGACCAAUAAGAAUGCAAACAAAGUAUGUUGCUGAUGACACUGGUAUCACUAACCUGUCCACAUGGGACAAAAAUAUUGAUCAGCUUCAGGUCAAUGACACUUACAGGUUGGAAAAUGUGUCUGUCAAAUUCUUUGAGAAAGAAAAGCACCUGUCAACUACACCACAAACCACUAUCACUAACAUUCCACCAUUAACCAAUUAUGUCAAAUUGGAAACUGCAACUAUUCAGGCCGAAAUUGUUGCCAUACAAAUAACAACAAAAUAUCAGUGUCUAUCAUGCAGUCACCCAAAUGCUUUCAUCUCUAAUACUGGCACAAGAUGUCGUUGUGACCAUUGUGGCAACCAGCAACUUGCACUUAAAGCCAAGAAAAUCUUCCAGGGCGAUGGCACAUUUCAAACACAAACUCAGGAAACUUACAAACUUGCAUUCAGAUCUGAUACUUUGGACGAAAUUCUUGAUGCUAUCAAAGCAUCCACAGCGUCAUCCACAUCAGAACAUAUGAGAUGCCGUCAGCUGAGCAUAUUGAGUCAUUCCUUCUUGAAUACGAUGACAACUUCACCGUCACAUACUAUCCUAGAAUGAAUAUAAUCUCCACUCUCACAACCAGUCAAUAAAGCAGCAACCUGUACCUUUCUACAUGCAAAAUAGCCUGAACAGUUAACAACAUUUUGCAUCACAGGCCUCCAUCGUUGUAAGAGGGCAACCAGCAAAAUUACUCGACAUGUCUACAUUUCAUUUUAGCAAUUCAUAAUCUUGUCAUAGCAGUUAUUGCUUCAGUGUUAUAUUAUCAUCAUGCAUACGCAUUUGUAAUCUUCAGCAUUUUAGAUCAUUAGUGUUACUUUAUAUAUUACAUUUCAUAACUGAUCUGUGUUUUUAACAUUACUGAUUUCAAUCAUUGCGAAUACUUCCUGUAGCUGUAGUAUUACAUGUAUCCUUGGAAAGGCAUCAUUUCCAAUCAUUGUACUCACAACUUCAUCACUGCUGUUAUUUCAUAUGUUCUCAUCUAUCAUUUCAAUCAUUGGAAAUAUUUCAUUCUAUAUCACCCUUGCUUAGAUAUAAUUCUGUAUCAAUCCAUCUCGUAAUUUCAAUCAUUGCGAAUACUUCCUCUACCUGUAGUAUUACAUGUAUCCUUGGAAAGGCAUCCUUGGAAAGGUAUCAUUUCCAAACAUUGUACUCACAACUUCAUCACUGCUGUUAUUUCAUUUUUGAUUACAUUAAUUUUACCUAUGAUUACAAAUCAGAGUAUGUUAAUUUCAAUCAGUUGCUGGACACCUACAAUUAUUUUCAAUAAAUAAAUGUUAACUUUACACAUCUGCUCAAUUCCUUCUCAUUUCUUAGCAGAUUCUUGAUUUAGCUCAGGAACUGUCACAUUACCACAUGUGUCACAUUGGCACAUGCUCAAUACUCCUUCGACAACUUUCAAUGGACACAACGGUCGCCAAAAGUUCAAACAAAGUUUCUUUCAAUAUCUGCCAACCAUUGUGAUCAUUCAAAGCACUAUUAUAUCAUUUCGCAAAAACCUAUGCAGUGAUUGGACAUCAAUGUCAUUUCAUACUCAACAGAACAAAGUAAAACAAGGUGUCUGCUGAGCUCUUUCAAGAUUCUUUAAUCCCAUCCAGUAAUUUAGUGACACACUCCCAAACCUAAUGUACCGGUAGAACGAAUUUCUUGCCCUCACAGGAUGCGACCCAUCCUCUUGCAAACAGGGUCAAACAUGACUCCUCAUCAUUCAUAGCCCACACAAGUAUUGCAUGUCUGCAACAACAUAUGCUUGUGUGCAAUGUAUGUCUGUAUGUCUGUGGAAUAAAAAAUCUCGCAUCAAUCAAGUCAAAAAGUCCAACCUCUUUCCACAAUUGCUUCCGGCAAUCACCUGCAGUAUGGCUUCACAACGAGAAAAAUGCAUUGGCUUGCUAGUCUCUGUAAUGAGCACAUGGCAGAGACUAGUGGCGAGACUCCAUACAACCCAUUUACUACAUACCAGCAAUGUACACUGGUACAACAGUGGUACCUCCUACAUUUUCUGCACCACAUUCCCCUCAUCAAGCAGAAUGUCUAAUUAUUCCACCAGCGGAGCUAUCCAGGCCGUCAGGCCU